rnacentral:lncRNA from 1 species
AGCUGGCUGGGCGGUUAGGAGGGCCCGGGGCCGAGACGAUGGCUGACCACAACCCUGACAGCGACUCCACGCCGCGCACGCUGCUGCGACGCGUGCUGGAUACAGCGGACCCGCGCACCCCGCGGCGACCCCGGAGUGCUCGGGCUGGAGCCCGGAGAGCCCUGCUUGAAACGGCUUCCCCCAGGAAGUUGAGUGGCCAAACAAGGACGAUAGCCAGAGGGCGUUCCCAUGGAGCCAGGUCUGUUGGCAGAUCGGCCCAUAUUCAGGCCAGUGGGCACUUGGAGGAACAGACACCUCGGACGCUGCUGAAGAACAUCCUACUAACUGCCCCAGAAUCUUCCAUCCUGAUGCCUGAGUCGGUAGUGAAGCCAGUGCCAGCACCGCAGGCGGUCCAACCCUCCAGACAAGAGAGCAGUUGCGGCAGCCUGGAGCUGCAACUUCCUGAGCUCGAGCCCCCCACAACCCUGGCUCCAGAUCCCUCAACCUGACCUUUGCCACACCUCUUCAGCCACAGUCAGUGCAGAGGCCUGGCUUGGCCCGCAGACCUCCAGCCCGCCGAGCUGUAGACGUGGGUGCCUUUUUGCGGGAUCUGCGAGAUACUUCCCUGGCUCCUCCAAACAUUGUGUUGGAGGACACCCAGCCGUUCUCUCAGCCCAUGGUUGGCUCCCCCAACGUGUAUCACUCCCUGCCCUGCACGCCUCACACUGGGGCUGAAGACGCUGAGCAGGCUGCCGGUCGCAAGACACAGAGCAGUGGGCCUGGGCUGCAGAAGAAUAGUGAGUGUGUGGCACUGGUGGCCUGGAGCCAAAUUUAGCUUGGGUGAGAGUUGACAAUGGUAGUUUUCCUUCCUCAAGCCCCUCUGUGCCCCUAGAGCACCCUGGCUGUGGCUGCCUCCUUCAUCCAAGAGCAGAGUCCAUGUUGGGCCAGGAGACUUCAGAUCCAUGUCCUGGUGCUGCCUCUGGCUUUGUCUUUCCUCAGUGGGCAGGACUGGGUCUGCUGGUCCAUCUUUACCCUUCUCUGAGCUAUGCAGCCUUGGCCUGCUGCGUCUCCGGCCUGUAUUCUCUCCCCUUCACUCAGGCCCUGGGAAACCAGCCCAGUUUCUGGCAGGAGAGGCAGAGGAGGUCAAUGCCUUUGCUCUGGGCUUCCUGAGCACCAGCAGUGGUGUCUCUGGAGAAGAUGAAGUAGAGCCCUUACACGAUGGAGUUGAAGAGGCAGAGAAAAAGAUGGAAGAAGAAGGUGUGAGUGUGAGUGAAAUGGAGGCAACAGGAGCACAAGGACCCAGCAGGGUAGAAGAGGCUGAGGGACACACAGAGGUGACAGAAGCAGAGGGAUCCCAGGGGACUGCUGAGGCUGACGGGCCAGGAGCAUCUUCAGGGGAUGAGGAUGCCUCUGGCAGGGCAGCAAGUCCAGAGUCGGCCUCCAGCACCCCUGAGUCUCUCCAGGCCAGGCGACAUCAUCAGUUUCUUGAGCCAGCCCCAGCGCCUGGUGCUGCAGUCUUAUCUUCAGAGCCUGCAGAGCCUCUGUUGGUCAGGCAUCCCCCUAGGCCCCGGACCACCGGCCCCAGGCCCCGGCAAGAUCCCCACAAGGCUGGACUGAGCCACUAUGUGAAACUCUUUAGCUUCUAUGCCAAGAUGCCCAUGGAGAGGAAGGCUCUUGAGAUGGUGGAGAAGUGCAUCUUUGUGAUGAUCUGGAGGUAUUUGCUGCUCAUGCUGGCCGCAAGACUGUGAAGCCAGAGGACCUGGAGCUGCUGAUGCGGCGGCAGGGCCUGGUCACUGACCAAGUCUCACUGCACGUGCUAGUGGAGCGGCACCUGCCCCUGGAGUACCGGCAGCUGCUCAUCCCCUGUGCAUACAGUGGCAACUCUGUCUUCCCUGCCCAGUAGUGGCCAGGCUUCAACACUUUCCCUGUCCCCACCUGGGGACUCUUGCCCCCACAUAUUUCUCCAGGUCUCCUCCCCACCCCCCCAGCAUCAAUAAAGUGUCAUAAACAG